rnacentral:rRNA from 1 species
UCCGGUUGAUCCUGCCGGACCCGACCGGGAUCGGGGUGGGGCUAAGCCAUGCAAGUCGAGCGUUCUCUAGCUGUUGAGAGCGCGGCGCACGGCUCAGUAGUACGCAGCUAACCUACCCUAAGGAGGGGGAUAAUCCCGGGAAACUGGGGCUAAUAACCCAUGAACCUCAGAGGCUGGAAUGCACUGAGGUUAAAAUGACUAUUUCAGCAUGCUGGAAUGGUUGCCUUAGGAUGGGGCUGCGUCCGAUCAGGUAGUUGGCGGGGUAAAGGCCCACCAAGCCUAUGACCGGUGCGGGCUCUGAGAGGAGGAGCCCGGAGAUGGAUCCUGAGACAAGGGUCCAGGCCCUACGGGGCGCAGCAGGCGCGAAACCUUCACAAUGCCCGAAAGGGUGAUGAGGCUACCCCGAGUGCUAUCCGCAGAGGAUAGCUUUUGUUAGGUCUAAAAAGCCUGGCGAAUAAGGGGAGGGUAAGACUGGUGUCAGCCGCCGCGGUAAUACCAGCUCCCCGACUGGUCGGGAUGAUUAUUGGGCCUAAAGCGUCCGUAGCCGGUUCUUUAUGUGGUUCGUUAAAUCUAGCGGCUCAACCGCUGGGCUGCGAAUCAUACUAAAGGGCUAGGGGGCGGGAGAGGCCAAGGGUACUCCGCGGGUAGGGGUAAAAUCCGCUGAUCCGUGGAAGACCAACAGUGGCGAAGGCGUUUGGCCAGAACGCGCCCGACGGUGAGGGACGAAAGCUAGGGGAGCGAACCGGAUUAGAUACCCGGGUAGUCCUAGCUGUAAACGAUGCUCGCUAGGUCUUGGAAGAACUUUGUGUUCUGUCAGGGCCGCAGGGAAGCCGUUAAGCGAGCCGCCUGGGGAGUACGGCUGCAAGGCUGAAACUUAAAGGAAUUGGCGGGGGAGCACCACAAGGGGUGAAGCCUGCGGUUUAAUUGGAGUCAACGCCGGA